rnacentral:lncRNA from 1 species
GAAACAAUCAAUCCCAGUAAUUGCCUUUAUGGAGAACAAGGCCCUGCGAUUAUUCAUUAACACCCUCUCUGCUGUCUCCUCUCAAACUUCUCACUCCAUAACCGCUGCCCUUAUAUCCGGGUUCAGGUAGCACCAAGGAGCAGCUGCUCAUCUCAAAUGAAGACGCUGGAGGACUCAGAGCCCCAAAGCAGACAUGAGAACGUGGGGGGAUGCCCUGGCUGAGACCCUCUUAGACACGACAAGCCUUUAGUAUGUAGAACGUGUUCCCUGCUAUCCACAAGCACGAAACUCUAUACAGACUUGACUUUCUCUCUAAUGGAGUUCCCCUGUAGAUGACAUCGAUUCUCUGAAAUUUUACCCCACGCUUGGAAGGCAAAAUAUAAAUUUCUGUUUUGUGCACAGAAGAUCUUUAAUACACACAUCAAUUUCAAAAAGGUAAAUGUCUGGCCGUCACCCUCUACUCAGAACCUUAGUUAUCAUACAGGCAAAGAUGCAAAGGAAAUAAGGGGAGAUAUUUGAGCUCCCUUCGCCCUUCUGCCUUGUGAGGGUUACGUAUGACUUUAGAUACAAAUAAGGUGGGUGGUUAUGGUGACAGGGUAGUUGGAGAAAAAAAUUGCAAAGAAGAUAGUUCCACAAAAGUGAGAAGAAGAACUCAAGUGGGGAAAAAAAAAGUAGACUUUUCAAGGAAAGAGGAAAGGAAGAAAAGGAAUUGCAUGUAAAUAAUAGAGAUGAGGAUGAAUCAGAGUGACUUCCUAAAUAUAUGCUGCAUAGGAAGAAAAAUGUGGCCAAGAGGAAUGGUGGGACCUGAAAGAGAUGUGGAGGAGGGUGAGAGGAAGGGACUGUGUGGAAGGCAGAGCUCCGAAACACAGCCGGAAAACAGCUG